rnacentral:miRNA from 1 species
CCUCCUGGGACCUGAGGCAGCA